CUCUCUCUCUCUCCCCCUCUCUCUUUCUUUCUUCUCCUUCUCUCUCCUUUCUCUUUAUCGACAUCUCACACAAACACACAAGCACCACCAGCAACCACCACCAGCCACUGCCCCUCCGAAGAUGUUAGUUACACGAGCACCAAUCGAUUGAUUCUGAGCUUAAUUAUAAUUCUAAGCUUGGAGUUCGAUUCUGAUCCUAAGCCCCUUCCACGGAUUUGGUUUUCUUUCACCAUCCAUGAACUCAUACUUUGCAAGUGUCUCGGUCUCAACAUCAGUGUUGGCCCCUGAUCCUGUUGAUUCUUUGCGUCUGAUCUCAAGGAAUCUCCGUUGCUGCCACUUUUGCCCCUGCGAAGCUUGUAUCUUCAACAUCACUUUUGUGGUUUCAGACCUACAUCCUUCUUUCUCCAAUCUGAGUUUCAAGAGCUGGCAAAAAAAUGCUAUUACAGGUUAUCUAGGUGAGCAGAUCAUUAAAAUCGGCAAGCCGGCUGACUUUUGUUGAUGUAGAUUGGUGUAGUGGACAAUUCAUUUAUUGUGGACGCCAGAAGCUUGGGAUUUUGGGAUGCUAUUUUGCUAUCAUAAUGCAAGCACCGGAUUCUAAUUGAUCUUGUAGGUGAGUUUUUGGUAUAGGCUAUGGAUGAGAAGUGAUUGCUGAUAUUUGGUACUUUCAUGUUAUGUUAAUUGAUUGGAUCUUAAUUAUUAUACACCCAAAUAACUUGGUAGCAGAAGUAAUAAAGUACUAUUGAAGUAAAUGAA